rnacentral:rRNA from 1 species
CAGUAGCCGCGGUAAUACGUAGGGUGCGAGCGUUAAUCGGAACUACUGGGCGUAAAGCGUGCGCAGGCGGCUGUGUAAGACAGGUGUGAAAUCCCCGGGCUUAACCUGGGAACUGCGCUUGUGACUGCACAGCUAGAGUAUGGCAGAGGGGGGUGGAAUUCCACGUGUAGCAGUGAAAUGCGUAGAGAUGUGGAGGUACACCGAUGGCGAAGGCAGCCCCCUGGGCCAAUACUGACGCUCAUGCACGAGAGCGUGGGGAGCAAACAGGAUUAGAGACCCGUGUAGUCCCUGUCUCUUAUAC